GACGAACGCUGGCGGCGUGCUUAACACAUGCAAGUCGAACGGAGCGAAUGAAAGCUUGCUUUUAUAAGCUUAGUGGCAAACGGGUGAGUAACACGUAGACAACCUGCCGACAGGAUGGGGACAACAUUCCGAAAGGAAUGCUAAUACCGAAUGAAGCGCAGGAGAGGCAUCUCUCCUGCGUGAAAGAUGGCCUCUAUAUAUAAGCUAUCACCUGUUGAUGGGUCUGCGUCUGAUUAGCUGGUAGGUGAGGUAACGGCUCACCUAGGCGACGAUCAGUAGCCGGUCUGAGAGGAUGAACGGCCACAUUGGGACUGAGACACGGCCCAGACUCCUACGGGAGGCAGCAGUGGGGAAUCUUCCGCAAUGGGCGCAAGCCUGACGGAGCAACGCCGCGUGAGUGAAAGAAAGGUCUUCGGAUCGUAAAAGCUCUGUUGAUGGG
rnacentral:rRNA from 1 species